UAGCACAGGGAUGGGCUUAUGACGCAUUAGCCAGCUGGUGAGGUAACGGCUCACCAGGGCGACGAUGCGUAGCCGGCCUGAGAGGGUGGACGGCCACACUGGGACUGAGACACGGCCCAGACUCCUACGGGAGGCAGCAGUGGGGAAUAUUGCGCAAUGGGGGCAACCCUGACGCAGCAACGCCGCGUGAUUGAUGAAGGUCUUCGGAUUGUAAACUUCUUUUCUUAGUGAAGAAGAAAGUGACGGUAGCUAAGGAAUAAGCAUCGGCUAACUAC
rnacentral:rRNA from 1 species